AAAGAUCAGAGUGAACUGGGCCUCACUGAUCAUACACAACCUGGCAACAUCAACCAGGAACACUGGAGCUCGCCAUUAUCCAAGGAUGCUCUCAAAGCUUUUCGGUCUAGGGUAUUUUGAAAUCCCACUCUAUCCAAAACCACUCAUAGUUCAUAUUCAACCCUUCACUGCAAGCUCCUUCCAAAAGAAAUGGAAGAAUACUUAUAGUCCGAACUCAC
rnacentral:lncRNA from 1 species